AACGAACGCUGGCGGCAGGCUUAACACAUGCAAGUCGAACGCUCGUAGCAAUACGGGAGUGGCGGACGGGUGAGUAACGCGUGGGAACGUGCCCUGAGGUACGGAAUAACUGAGGGAAACUUCAGCUAAUACCGUAUGAGCCCCGAGAGGGGAAAGAUUUAUCGCCUUGGGAGCGGCCCGCGUCGGAUUAGCUAGUUGGUGGGGUAACGGCCUACCAAGGCUUCGAUCCGUAGCUGGUCUGAGAGGACGAUCAGCCACACUGGGACUGAGACACGGCCCAGACUCCUACGGGAGGCAGCAGUGGGGAAUCUUGCGCAAUGGGGGCAACCCUGACGCAGCCAUGCCGCGUGAACGAUGAAGGCCUUAGGGUUGUAAAGUUCUUUUACCCGUGACGAUGAUGACGGUAACGGGGGAAUAAGCUCCGGCUAACUUCGUGCCAGCAGCCGCGGUAAU
rnacentral:rRNA from 1 species